UCCAGGAUGGCCGAGUGGUUAUGGUAUCAGACUUCAGUUCUGAUACAUUUAUGUGUUCGUAGGUUCGAAUCCUACUCCUGAAC
rnacentral:tRNA from 1 species